AUGUGGACUGGAUGCCCAGCGUGAGUGUAUACCGUGAGGGCCUUUGUGCUCUCGGACAGCGUGGAGUGGUCAAGGAAGGCCUCCAGGAGGAAGAGGCGGCCCACCGCCCCAGGCAGCACAGUGCUGCCUCUGGACGGAGGGACGGGAAGUGGCCAGAAGGGGAAGUGUGAGGAGUUCCCGUCCAGCCUGUCAUCAGUCUCCCCAGGUCUUGAAGCGGCGGCCCUGCUCCUGGCCGUGACCAUGGACCCUCUGGAGACCCCUAUCAAGGAUGGCAUCCUCUACCAGCAGCAUGUCAAGUUUGGCAAGGUGGGGACCCCUGGCUGCCAGGCAGCUGCCAAGGACCAACAGUGGGUGGAGAAUGCAGCUUCCGCCCCUGCCUCGGACAGCCCAGGCAGACCUGGGAGACUUGGGAAGGGAGUCAGGGUGGAGGAUCCUACCCAGGUAUGGGGAGUGGAACAGAGUGUGGGUGUCGGCCUGAGACGGCAGGGGCUGAGCAGGCUCUGCCAGACCCUGCCUCCAGGAGAGACGGGAAUACAGGAGCGGGAGAGGGUCGAAGGCUCAAACCUCCCAGCAGGGAAGAGCUUCACGGCCUCUGACCCAUGAAAUAGUGCCACCGAGGGCCCUAAAUAGGGUGAGGAGCUGAGCUGGAGGAGGCCCCAAGGGUGGAGCCCCUCCCUGCAGUGGCACUGUCCUGGGAGCAAGGAGGCAGGGGUGUCACCUCUCCUCGGCAGCAGCCCCACACCCCCGCAGCUCAGCUGCAGCUGCUGCCCAGGCAGAUAAACCGUCAGUUUCCUUUACUCGAAGCUAUUUGCAUGUUUCCUUCCUUAACAGCGUGAGGCGGAGGCCUCCCUCCCACCCCAGCUCUUGGCCUGUGGCCCAAGUGCCCCUUUUUGGGGGUGGGAGGGAACCAACAUCAUGGCAGUGUCUGAUGGUCUGCCUGGCCACUGGAUGCUUUACAAACAUGACCCAGUAGCAGCCCCAGCUCGAGUUCCAUGG
rnacentral:sRNA from 1 species